GGGGAUGUAGCUCAGUGGUGUGAGCGCAUGCUGUUGAUGUAUGAUGUCCUGGGUUCAAUCCCCAGCUUCUCCA